rnacentral:misc_RNA from 1 species
AAGUUUUCCGUAGGUGAACCUGCGGAAGGAUCAUCAACACGCAUCCAACGUUAAACCCCCCUGUGAACUUUUACACUUGCUCUCGUGGCCUGCUAAAAUUGCAAUCCCUGGCAAAUCAUUGUUGAACAGAUUUUGGUUCAGGGACCUCAGUUUGGUAGGUUUCGAUGGAUCCAUCGUUGCAAGUGACCUGGUUUCCGAAGCAUCAUGUCUGAAAGUGUCAUUGUUGUGGAAGGAUAACGCUUUUCGAUCACUGCUCGAACACCGGCCAGUGGACGGGUCGCAGCGGCUUCGGGACGAACAACUGUUAACAAUGGAUAUCUUGGUUCUC